rfam:Ictidomys tridecemlineatus contig061575, whole genome shotgun sequence.
GGGGUUGUGGCUCAGUGAUAGAGCACUUACCUAGCAUGUAUGAGGCACUGGGUUCAGUUCUCAGCACUGCUU